GAAAUGUGAUAAGUAGUGUGAAUUGCAGAAUUCAGUGAAUCAUCGAAUCUUUGAACGCACAUUGCGCCCUUUGGUAUUCCAAAGGGCAUGCCUGUUCGAGCGUCAUUUGUACCCUCAAGCUUUGCUUGGUGUUGGGCGUCUUGUCUCUAGCUUUGCUGGAGACUCGCCUUAAAGUAAUUGGCAGCCGGCCUACUGGUUUCGGAGCGCAGCACAAGUCGCACUCUCUAUCAGCAAAGGUCUAGCAUCCAUUAAGCCUUUUUUUCAACUUUUGACCUCGGAUCAGGUAGGGAUACCCGCUGAACUUAAGC
rnacentral:misc_RNA from 1 species